AAAUUGAAGAGUUUGAUCAUGGCUCAGAUUGAACGCUGGCGGCAGGCCUAACACAUGCAAGUCGAGCGGAAACGAGUUAUCUGAACCUUCGGGGAACGAUAACGGCGUCGAGCGGCGGACGGGUGAGUAAUGCCUAGGAAAUUGCCCUGAUGUGGGGGAUAACCAUUGGAAACGAUGGCUAAUACCGCAUGAUGCCUACGGGCCAAAGAGGGGGACCUUCGGGCCUCUCGCGUCAGGAUAUGCCUAGGUGGGAUUAGCUAGUUGGUGAGGUAAGGGCUCACCAAGGCAACGAUCCCUAGCUGGUCUGAGAGGAUGAUCAGCCACACUGGAACUGAGACACGGUCCAGACUCCUACGGGAGGCAGCAGUGGGGAAUAUUGCACAAUGGGCGCAAGCCUGAUGCAGCC
rnacentral:rRNA from 1 species